CGUCGUUCUUGGCCCAGGAGGUUAUGGGCUGUUUGCCAGUUGCGUCUUUAUAGCCGCAUGCACGACUCAAAGUGUCUGGAUUCAGGGAACUGUGAAAUCAUUCGUUGAUUUUUGUCGUUGAUCAAGGGGUCAUGAUUUAGGGGGUCCCAGACACCCCAAGAUGAAGUUAGGUCGACCGUAGGGGUAAGUCGUUUGCGCCACUUUUGCAUAGAUGGAGCUACUGUCGAAAACGAGAGGGGGAAAAAAACAUCCUACCCUUUCGACGUCCGAAGACAGACUGAAGCGCUUCGGCGCGAAGCAACUAGCUUAUAGCAGGGACGUGAUACUUUUUUAAAUAAAUUAAAAAAAGCAAUUGAGUUAUUCUAUAAUUUAUCCAAUUUCGAUUUUGAAUUAUAUAUUUAAUUUAAUUACUGAGGUAUAAGGGAUAGAGAUGUCGGUCCCUGGGGGCCCCAUAAAGGAGGAUAACAACUGACUCUACUAACGUUUGAUUUAAAUAAUCGAAUCUUCUUGGUUCAAUGUCAAUCCCAAUAUUUUAAUGUUAUUUACUUUAUUCCGUAAUGUACGAAAUCUGAUUCAACUUGACUCGAUAUUGCUCUUUUCAUUGGCUUCUCGUUGCACCAGCUAAAUACAGUUUUCCAGACUGCAUCUUGUUGACUCACCAAGAGAAAUCGCGAAAAGUUAUUCUUUUCUCCGCGAAGUUCAUUAGCACAGCAAAUUAGUGACUAUGCUUCAACUAGCACGUUUAAAGCGAGCAUCCUAAAGGUAUCGUGUUCGUUCUCUGUGCAUUUUCGAUGCGUCUGCACGCGUUCAGAAGGAAUGUCUCCCUUCUCCCCCGUCUUUGUUCAUUGUUCCGUCCCUGGGUGUGGUUUGAUACGUCUGCAUCUCAUUAAUUAUUUAAUGAAUUAUUAUUUCUUGAAAGAACUCUGGGAGAGACUAACCGAGAAAAUGUGUAGAUAAACGGUAGAUAAUUUCUUCCCCUAAUUGAGGCCAGUCCGAAUUACACGCGACUGUAUGUCGAGGGCACGAUUAUUUCGACCAACGUGGCCCACUCGAAGCUAGAUAAAGCACGCAUAAUUGGGAGGGAUGCUUCCAACCCUUCCUCGUUGACGCGCCGAGUCCUGUUUUAUCUCUGCCGAAUUCCUGAACGCCAGCUCAUCCUGUCUCAUUGUACCGUUGAUGCGACGCUAACAGCGAAGCAUGUCCGCGCAUUGAUUCGCAUGAAUCAGAAAUUAAAACGCAAAAUGUAUGCGCAGAAAUCUCUUGACUCAUAUUUGAUCGGCAAACAUUGAUGCGUCGAGCGCUAAGUACUAUAUUUUUCGCACCAUAUACGUACGAAAAUCGACGCAUUUUUUGCUCCUGCAAUAAUGAUAAGGAAAUAUUACUCGGUCCUAACCGCAGAUCUUUUCCUCGAUUAUAUCAUCGACGAUCACUCGUCUUCUGAAACAACAACGAAUAAAUCAUCUUCGAUACCGAAUCUCGCAUGAAACAUUUCACUUUCGUUCUUGUUUCAAGCGUAAUAGCAAGCAAACCUACAACCACCCACUUGGACGCCGCGCCGUUCAUUCAUCCACGAUCAUUUCCGCCGCCUUAAUGACACGCAGCCACCUACGACCGGUUCGGAAUAAAUUACGAUUCAUUUUCGUUCGAAAGGAAUGUAAUAAAGCCCUGCUCGGUCUUCUAUUCCCGUGGUUAGAGGCUCGUUCGAGCGCGAAAGCGACCGGCAAGUUCAGGAAUACCUGCGGAUGAAACCGGUCUCUCGAAAUCGUCUAACUCGACAGCCGCAAAAGAAGCAUCCGCGAAAUUCCAUUUAGAGCCGAGACUGCCCCCACUGCUGCCCCACCCCAAAGUUAUUUACUUUGUUGUUCGAAGAUUAAUCAUAAAUUUUUCUUUCUAAUCUUAGUUUCAUUUUUUCUUUUUUUUCUUUUCAUUUAUUCUUAGACGAUAACAACUUCUUUUUCAAUUACCUUCAUCGGUGACGUCGAAUCUUAUUACAACGUCGAUUAAAAGUUUUACAAGACUUUGGAACACCUUGUAACCGCUUUUUCC